GCGUGCUUUCUUACGUCCUCAGCAUUGCCAUGGGUUGUGGUAAAUAUGUCCGUUGAUGGAGAAUACUGCGUUCUUAGCAUCGGUUUUAUCGUUACCAGUGGAGCGCAAAAUAAGCUUACAUAAGGAUUCAACACGUAGGAGUUCAGUAGAUUGGCAGAUUCGCAAUCUUCAUCUGGCGACAUUUCUUCUUGUUGUAUUUCUUUGCAGCGUUUUCUUUUCCGAUCCAUCUGAGUCUACUCUCCAUUUUCGGCUAUAGUAGUACCGAUAACAGGGAAUGACACCAGUGAGGGUUAUAUGGAUAUUUAUGUAGUGAAGUGUAUCGUUUUCUAACAAUUUCUGGCAGUUGCUGCGUGGAUGUCAAAACCUCACACAUGCAUUCGGAGCAACAUAACACAGCAGUCAACCAGCAACAGUUUCAAAGGGGUAUAAUUGUCAGCGCAGCAUUGGCCGUGCAAGGCACUUGGACUACAGCUCUUGACAGAUGAUCACAGGUUGAGACUAUGGCCUGUGAGUGCGGUUUAAUAGCCAUGACGAAAAGCGGGCGAUCCCAGUACACACGUUUUAUAUAUUUCGUGAUCUGCAGGGACAAGUAUGCUAUACUUUAUGCGAUCACCGACGAUAUGGACAGAUUUUCUGAGGAGAUACGAACGUGAAAUCCGGUGUUGAUAUUCUGUGCAGCUCAAUCUACAUUUCAGAACUAUUUUGCAA